rnacentral:rRNA from 1 species
GUGGGGAAUAUUGCGCAAUGGGGGCAACCCUGACGCAGCAAUACCGCGUGAGUGAAGAAGGUUUUCGGAUCGUAAAACUCUUUUAUUGGGGAAGAAGAAGUGACGGUACCCAAUGAAGAAGUCCCGGCUAACUACGUGCCAGCAGCCGCGGUAAUACGUAGGGGACAAGCGUUGUCCGGAAUCACUGGGCGUAAAGGGCGCGUAGGCGGUUUUAUAAGUCAGAUGUGAAAGGUACCGGCUCAACCGGUGACGUGCAUUUGAAACUGUAAGACUUGAGUACUGGAGAGGCAAGUGGAAUUCCUAGUGUAGCGGUGAAAUGCGUAGAUAUUAGGAGGAACACCGGUGGCGAAGGCGGCUUGCUGGACAGAUACUGACGCUGAGGUGCGAAAGCGUGGGGAGCGAACAGGAUUAGAUACCCUUGUAGUCC